UGGGGAAUAUUGCACAAUGGGCGAAAGCCUGAUGCAGCAACGCCGCGUGAGUGAUGAAGGCCUUCGGGUUGUAAAGCUCUGUCUUCUGGGACGAUAAUGACGGUACCAGAGGAGGCAGCCACGGCUAACUACGUGCCAGCAGCCGCGGUAAUACGUAGGUGGCAAGCGUUGUCCGGAUUUACUGGGCGUAAAGGAUGCGUAGGCGGAUACUUAAGUCAGAUGUGAAAAUCCCGAGCUUAACUUGGGAACUGCAUUUGAAACUGGGUAUCUAGAGUGCGGGAGAGGAAAGUGGAAUUCCUAGUGUUGCGGUGAAAUGCGUAGAGAUUAUGAAGAACACCAGUGGCGAAGGCGACUUUCUGGACCGUAACUGACGCUGAUGCAUGAAAGCGUGGGGAGCAAACA
rnacentral:rRNA from 1 species